rnacentral:rRNA from 1 species
UGUAAAGUACUUUCAGCAGUGAGGAAGGAGGAUGCGCUAAUAGCGUAUUCGUCUGACGUUACAUGCAGAAGAUGCACCGGCUAACUGAGUGCCAGCAGCCGCGGUAAUACGGAGGGUGCGAGCGUUAAUCCGAAUUGCUGGGCGUAAAGCGCAUGCAGGUGGUAUGUUAAGUCAGAUGUGAUAGCCGGCGGCUCUACCUCGGCAUAGCAUUUGAAACUGGCACACUAGAGUACUGUAGAGGGGGGUAGAAUUUCAGGUGUAGCGGUGAAAUGCGUAGAGAUCUGAAGGGAUACCAGUGGCGAAGGCGUCCCCACGGAUAGAUACUGACACUCAGAUGCGAUAGCGUGGGGAGCCAACAGGAUUAGAUACCCUGUUAGUCCACGCCGUAAUUGAUGUCUACUUGGAGGUUGUGGCCUUGAGCCGUGGCUUUCGGAGCUAACGCGUUAAGUAGACCGCCUGGGGAGUACGGUCGCAAGAUUACAUCUCAAAUGAAUCGACGGGGGCCCGCACAAGCGGUGGAGCAUGUGGUUUAAUUCGAUGCAACGCGAAGAACCUUACCUACUCUUGACAUCCAGAGAACUUUCCAGAGAUGGAUUGGUGCCUUCGGGAACUCUGAGACAGGUGCUGCAUCGCUGUCGUCAGCUCGUGUUGUGAAAUGUUGGGUUAAGUCCCGCAACGAGCGCAACCCUUAUCCUUGUUUGCCAGCGAGUAAUGUCGGGAACUCCAGGGAGACUGCCGGUGAUAAACCGGAGGAAGGUGGGGACGACGUCAAGUCAUCAUGGCCCUUACGAGUAGGGCUACACACGUGCUACAAUGGCGCAUACAGAGGGCGGCCAACUUGCGAAAGUGAGCGAAUCCCAAAAAGUGCGUCGUAGUCCGGAUCGGAGUCUGCAACUCGACUCCAUGAAGUCGGAAUCGCUAGUAAUCGUGGAUCAGAAUGCCACGGUGAAUACGUUCCCGGCCCUUGUACACACCGCCCGUCACACCAUGGGAGUGGGCUGCAAAAGAAGUAGGUAGUUUAACCUUCGGGGGGACGCUUACCACUUUGU